rnacentral:rRNA from 1 species
UACAGAGGUCCCAAGCGUUGUUCGGAUUCACUGGGCGUAAAGGGUGCGUAGGCGGUCGGGUAAGUCUGGUGUGAAAUCUCCAAGCUCAACUUGGAAAUGGCAUUGGAUACUAUUCGGCUCGAGGAAUGGAGGGGAGACUGGAAUACUUGGUGUAGCAGUGAAAUGCGUAGAUAUCAAGUGGAACACCAGUGGCGAAGGCGAGUCUCUGGACAUUUCCUGACGCUGAGGCACGAAAGCCAGGGGAGCAAACGGG